CGCAUCUGUGCAUGCAGAAUAUCAAUAAGCGGAGGAAAAGAAACUAACGAGGAUUCCCCUAGUAACGGCGAGUGAAGCGGGAAGAGCUCAAAUUUGAAAUCUUAAAGGGUUUCCCUUUACGAAUUGUAGUUUAAAGAAGUGUUUUCUGUUGAGGUUUUGGUAAAAGUUCUUUGGAAUAGGACAUCAUAGAGGGUGAGAAUCCCGUAUUUGACCUUUACUUUCAACUUUGUGAUACACUUUCAAAGAGUCGGAUUGUUUGGGAAUGCAGUCCAAAAUGGGUGGUAAAUUUCAUCUAAAGCUAAAUAUUGGCGAGAGACCGACAGCGAACAAGUACCGUGAGGGAAAGAUGAAAAGAACUUUGAAAAGAGAGUUAAACAGUACGUGAAAUUGUCAAAAGGGAAGCGUUUGACACCAGUGUUGUUUUUCUGAAAAUCAAUUAAAGAACUGUUUAUGCUAAGUUGUUUAGACUUUAUCAGCUAACUGUUUAGUUUUGAGCUUUUCUUUAAUGCACUCUUCAGUUAACAAGUCAACAUCAAUUUCUUUUGCUGUAAAAAAGCUUGAGGAAGGUGGCUUGAGAUUCGUCUUAAGUGUUUAUAGCCUCUUGCCUAUGCAGUCGGAGAGAUUGAGGUCUGCAGCGUAGAUCCUUCGGGGCUAAAUGCAUUUGUGCUAAGUUAUAGCAUUUCAUAGACAACUUGUUGACUAUGAUUUGUCUUGUAGCUUACUCGCUUAUGUUAUUUUACCUACGCUUAGGAUGUUGACAGCAGUAUAGACUGU
rnacentral:rRNA from 1 species